AACAAAAUUUGUGGGUUUCAAACAAAAUAUAAAAUAAUCAAAACAUAAAAUAACUGUAAGAUCAAAAUAUAAAAACUUUAAACUAAAACCAAAAUCAGACCUUAAAGUAUAUACGCAUACCGGAGUUCCAUACCCUUCGGCCUCUGAACCAAAUAUAUUGGAGGCGACGCACCGAGCAGUGUGUUCUACCUGAUUCUCAAGCAAGCUCAUUACUUGGUCUGAUUAUCAUAACAUCUGUCGCACAACACAAUUGGUGUUCCUUAUCUCUUGAAUUUCUCGACUUUCUCGGAGCUGUUGUUUGAUCGACUUUCUCGGAGAUGUUGCUUGCUCGACUUUCUCGGAGCUGUUGCUUGAUUAUUGCAUAGUCUAGAAUUAAGCACAAUACAACAUGGAGAUGGAGAUUGACAAAACAGUAUCAGUUAUUUUUGAUAAAUUCGAAUAUUUUCAUAGACAACACAAGGUAGCGGUAGCAAGCAAAACACAGGAUAUCAAAAUGCUGGUAAUAAGAGCAAGGAAGAGUGUAAUAAGAGACGACGUGAAGCCUACCAUAAAGGAAUUGAGCUUGAAAGUAAUGAGCAAAGAGAGCAAUGAAAUAAGGAGCAACGACAACGAUAUCAAAAAGAUAUAUAGUCCCUCACUACUAUCAAUGCUAAAAGCUAAGGGAACUCACUGUGAUACUUUCUGAUGAUGAGAAUGGAAUCAGAUUAGAGGAUACAUCAGGGCGGAAUAAAGCACAGGAGCAUAGAAUCAAACGCAAAGAUAACUCAAGUUUUUCACAGUGGCACAAUCUUGCAACAGACUUAUUGAUAUUGGUUAUUAACAAGCUUAAUUAUGAAGAUUGCAUUUAUCUUCGAGCUGUUUGCAAAGGAUGGAGAGUUAUUCAAAAAUCAACUUGCGCUACAAUCCUUGACAUUCCAUUACAGGGUAUAGCAGCAAUACUUAUUAUAUUGGGAAAAGACAGUUUCAAAGAUUUCUUCAGUUUCUUCAUCUGCUGGAUAAAAGGCCAGAAUGAUAGAACUAUAAAAGCAUUAUUAGAUUUAACUCCUAUACAAGAAUUAUAUCACUGGGGAUAUUAACGGAACAGACCUGAUGCAAGUAUGUAUACCUACUUCAUGACUAUGUCUCAACGACUUGGUAACAAAGAUGCCGAAUUUUAUUGAGCCUCAAAAAGUAUUAUUUUUAGGAACCAUGUUAAUCAUGAUAUAUUUGCUUAUUCAUAUCAAAUUAUCAAAAGUCUGUCUAUGAAGGGUCACACUAUCUCUGUGCUAUUUAAGAAUAUGCUCGAUAUAUAUUUUUUCCCCAAGAAAAAGAAAACUGCAGUCAUUAUUCCCAUCAAUCUAAUUACUUCGCCCGAGACAAGAGGCAAGAUAUUUGGAAUGAUGGUGGCUUUGAACACAAUUGCGGAAGAAAUUUAUCUAGAGAUAACAUUUGGCCCGCUAGAAGGAACGCCUAUUUGUAUGUGUCCAUAUCCAAGUGAAGACAAUCGCUAGAAGUGAAGACUCGGAAGAAAUACAUGACUA